CCUACGGGAGGCAGCAGUGGGGAAUAUUGGGCAAUGGAGGCAACUCUGACCCAGCAACGCCGCGUGAAGGAUGAAGGUUUUCGGAUUGUAAACUUCUGUCGCGAGGGAUGAAGAAUGACGGUACCUCGUCAGAAAGCCCCGACAAACUACGUGCCAGCAGCCGCGGUAAUACGUAGGGGGCGCGCGUUUUCCGGAAUGACUGGGUGUAAAGGGAUUGUAGGGGGGAUAUUAAGUUAUGUGUGGAAGCCCGCGGCUCAACCGUGGAAUUGCAAAUAAAACUGGUAAUCUGGAGUGCAGGAGAGGUAAGUGGAAUUCGCGGUGUAGCGGUGGAAUGCGUAGAUAUCGGGAGGAACACCAGAGGCGAAGGCGACUUACUGGACUGCAACUGACGCUGAGGCUCGAAAGCGUGGGGAGCAAACAGGAUUAGAUACCCGGGUAGUC
rnacentral:rRNA from 1 species